CCUACGGGAGGCAGCAGUAGGGAAUUUUCCACAAUGGGCGAAAGCCUGAUGGAGCAACGCCGCGUGGGUGAAGAAGGUCUUCGGAUCGUAAAACCCUGUUGUUAGAGAAGAAAGUGCGUGAGAGUAACUGUUCACGUUUCGACGGUAUCUAACCAGAAAGCCACGGCUAACUACGUGCCAGCAGCCGCGGUAAUACGUAUGUGGCAAGCGUUAUCCGGGGUUAUUUUGCGUAAAGGGAACGCAGGCGGGUUUUUAAGUCUGAUGUGAAAGCCUUCGGCUUAACCGGAGUAGUGCAUUGGAAACUGGGAGACGUGAGUGCAGAAGAGGAGAGUGGAACUCCAUGUGUAGCGGUGAAAUGCGUAGAUAUAUGGAAGAACACCAGUGGCGAAGGCGGCUCUCUGGUCUGUAACUGACGCUGAGGUUCGAAAGCGUGGGUAGCAAACAGGAUUAGAUACCCUUGUAGUC
rnacentral:rRNA from 1 species